rnacentral:ncRNA from 1 species
AAUGAAAAAGGCAAACUUAUCGAAAGAUAAGGACGCAAAGCUAGAGGACCUCCGUCAGGUGGUAGCCAGUUACCAAAG